rnacentral:rRNA from 1 species
UCGAUUCCCUUAGUAGCGGCGAGCGAAACGGGAAGAGCCCAAACCAACAAGCUUGCUUGUUGGGGUUGUAGGACACUCUAUACGGAGUUACAAAGGACGACAUUAGACGAAUCAUCUGGAAAGAUGAAUCAAAGAAGGUAAUAAUCCUGUAGUCGAAAAUGUUGUCUCUCUUGAGUGGAUCCUGAGUACGACGGAGCACGUGAAAUUCCGUCGGAAUCUGGGAGGACCAUCUCCUAAGGCUAAAUACUCUCUAGUGACCGAUAGUGAACCAGUACCGUGAGGGAAAGGUGAAAAGCACCCCGGAAGGGGAGUGAAAUAGAACCUGAAACCGUGUGCUUACAAGUAGUCAGAGCCCGUUAAUGGGUGAUGGCGUGCCUUUUGUAGAAUGAACCGGCGAGUUACGAUUUGAUGCAAGGUUAAGCAGUAAAUGUGGAGCCGUAGCGAAAGCGAGUCUGAAUAGGGCGUUUAGUAU